AAAAACAGAGCCCUCUACUUCCACCAAUACACAGACCGUAACACCCGAAAAACCAGAGCCCUCUACUUCCACCAAAACAUCGUUCACAACACCUGAAAAACCAGAGCCCUCUACUUCCACCAACACACCAACCACAACACCUGAAAAACCAGAGCCCUCUACGUCCACCAAAACAUUGUUCACAACACCUGAAAAAUCAGAGCCCUCUACUUCCACCAAAACAUUGUU